CAGCACCUCAAGUGGUCAGGAUGAUUAUUGGGCCUAAAGCAUCCGUAGCCUGCUUUGUUAGUUUUCGGUUAAAUCCAUACGCUCAACGUAUGGGCUGCCGGGAAUACUGCAAAGCUAGGGAGUGGGAGAGGUAGACGGUACUCGGUAGGAAGGGGUAAAAUCCUUUGAUCUAUUGAUGACCACCUGUGGCGAAGGCGGUCUACCAGAACACGUCCGACGGUGAGGGAUGAGAGCUGGGGGAGCAAACCGGAUUAGAUACCCGAGUAGUCC
rnacentral:rRNA from 1 species